rnacentral:rRNA from 1 species
GCNNAGUGCGGUCCUGCAGAAGAAGCGCCGGCUACUACGUGCCAGCAGCCGCGGUAAUACGUAGGGCGCAAGCGUUGUCCGGAAUUAUUGGGCGUAAAGAGCUCGUAGGCGGUCUGUCGCGUCUGGUGUGAAAUCCCAUGGCUCAACUGUGGGCUUGCAUCGGGUACGGGCAGACUAGAGUGCUGUAGGGGAGACUGGAAUUCCUGGUGUAGCGGUGGAAUGCGCAGAUAUCAGGAGGAACACCGAUGGCGAAGGCAGGUCUCUGGGCAGUUACUGACGCUGAGGAGCGAAAGCAUGGGGAGCGAACAGGAUUAGAUACCCUGGUAGUCCAAGGNCG